GUGGAGGUGAAAUUUUGCAGAUUUUUUGGAGGAAUCCCUAGGGGGGUAGGCGCCUUGACUGGGCCUGGUAUUGACGCUGAGGUACGAAAGCAUGGGGAGCAAACAGGAUCAGAUACCUUGGUAGUCCAUGCCGUAAACGAUGUCUGCUAGUGGUCGGGCCCUUAAGGGUUCGGUGACGGAGCGAAAGUAUUAAGCACACCGCCUGGGGAGUACGGCCGCAAGGUUAAAACUCAAAAGGAAUUGACGGGGACCCGCACAAGCGGUGGAGCAUGUUGUUUAAUUUGAAGCAACGCGAAGAACCUUACCCACUCUUGACAUCCUUCUUGUGGCUAUUAGAGAUAGAAGCUUUCGGUUCGGCCGGGGAAGUGACAGGUGCUGCAUGGCGGUCGUCAGCUCGUGUCGUGAGAUGUUCGGUUAAGUCCGGUAACGAGCGCAACCCUUAUUGAUAGUUGCCACCAUUCAGUUGGGCACUCUAUUGAUACUGCCGGUGAUAAGCCGGAGGAAGGCGGGGACGAGGUCAAGUCAUCAUGGCCUUUACGAGUGGGGCUACAAACGUGCUACAAUGGCUGUGACAAUGGGCAGUGAACCCGCGAGGGUGAGUGAAUCUCAAAAAGCAGUCUCAGUUCGGAUUGUUCUCUGCAACUCGAGAGCAUGAAGUGGGAAUCGCUAGUAAUCGUGGAUCAGAAUGCUACGGUGAAUACGUUCCCGGGUCUUGUACACACCGCCCGUCAAGUGAUGGGAGUUGGCUUUACCCGAAGAUCGUGUGCUAACUACGGAGGCAGCGAGCCACGGUAAGGUCAGCGACUGGCACUAA
rnacentral:rRNA from 1 species